UGGUGGAGUGAUUUGACUGCUUAAUUGCGUUAACGAACGAGACCUUAACCUGCUAAAUAGUGACUCCCCACUACAUGUGGAGAGGACCACUUCUUAGAGGGACUCUGUGUGCUUAAGCAUAGGGAAGUUUGAGGCAAAAACA
rnacentral:rRNA from 1 species